UCUUUCGCAAUGGGCGCAAGCCUGACGAAGCGACGCUGCGUGAGCGAUGAAGGCCUUCGGGUCGUAAAGCUCUUUCGCGCAAGACCCAGGAAGAAGUGUGAAUAACAUUUUGACUUGAGGGUACUGCGUAAAGAAGCACCGGCUAACUCCGUGCCAGCAGCUGCGGUAAUACGGAGAGUGCAAGCAUUAAUCGGAAUUAUUGGGCGUAAAGGGCGCGUAGGCGGAACGAUAAGUCAGAUGUGAAAUUCCGAAGCUCAACUUCGGAGCUGCAUUUGAAACUAUCGAUCUAGAGGAUUGACGGAGAAAACGGAAUUCCACGUGUAGCGGUGAAAUGCGUAGAUAUGGGAAGAACACCAGGGCGAAAGCGGUUUUCUAGUUUAUACCGACGCGAGGCGGCGAGC
rnacentral:rRNA from 1 species